UUGGGGGGGCAGAUGGCAGAGCAAGUAGAGGGAGAGGCAGGGUCUCAGGUUCAGGGGAUUUGGCUUUUCCUUGGGCUGGGUGAGGGUCACGUGGUCUGUGCCCCCUCCCCUCAUGUGCCUCCAUGCCAGUCACCCCUGUGUGUGAACCUUUCUGCUUUGAGGCCUGCAUGGAGGAGGGCAGGGGGCAGAGUGCCCUGGGGCAGGCUGUCCCCUCACUGCCUGCCGGGGUAUUUGUUGCCAUUUGCUAUGAAGCAGCAGGUGCUGGCGGCUCUCAGAGAGCAGCCGUGUAACCCACGGGUCUGAUCUGUUCUCAGAGUCCCUGUGCUCCUGUGCCUGCUUGUUCUCCACUGAGAGAUGGGAAUGAUCUCUCUCUCUUUCUUGGGCUCUCUUUCUCUCUUGUUCUCUCUCCCCUUCUCUUUCUCUUCCUCUUUUUCUCUUUUUCCUAGUGGAAAGAUCUAUAGAGCCUCCUCCCUACUCCCCUACUUCUCCUGGGUGCCCGGAGAACUGGAUCAGAAUCCAGGGGAAAUUCUAUUAUUUUUCGAAGGCCGAAGGGAACUGGACCGACAGCCAGAAGAACUGCUCCUCACACGCUGCCUCCUUGGCCACGAUUGAGAGUCUGCAGCAGCUGGCAGACUGGACCACUGGAUCGGCCUCCAGAAGGGCACAGAUGGGGUCUGGAAAUGGGUCAAUGGCACCGAGUUCGACCAUCGGUUUGGAAUACAAGGAGGAGCCGACUGUGCCUACCUGGAUGAAGACCUCAAUGUCAGCAGCUCCAUCUGCAGCAGGGCAAGAAAAUGGCUCUGCAGCAAACCUGAUGCCCCUACGUAGGAAGAAGAAUGUGAAGUGGGAGGGGACGUGUGAGCUAAAUGGAAAUGAGAUGGGGCAAGCUUGGUUCUGCUCCCCUCCAUGAUCUCUGGGAGCUGUAGCCUGGUUCCUUGUGUCUUACCCUGCCUCCAGAGUUUUGUCUGGUCCUAGCUGUGAAUUUCCCUAAUGCUGGGAUAUGUGACAAUUUGUAGUGCAGAUGUCACAGUUUCAGAGUAACUGCUCUUGUAUACCACCUUUGUCUUUAGCUGCCUCAUGGCUCCAUGUUUUGGGCCAUGUCUUAAUCCCAGUUGACUUGGCAUUUAAGUUCUCUUCUGUGCACCAUAGUGUCCCAGCAAGUCAGUCCUAAAAACCAGUGCCUGCGUUUUGCUUCUGCUCUGUACACAGGGAUAUGGCAGCAGUUACAAGCUCCCCUGUGGCCCUUUCUCCACUGAUGCCUUUCUUCUAAUUUAGGGCAAAAGAACACAAGAAAACAUAUACAAAUCGGUAACAUUUCUCCUACACCAGAAAGGUACAUUGGAGUGAUGGGACGGAUCACUUGUCCUGGUACAACCAAACCCUAAUCUAGCUUUAAUUUGUGUUAAGUAGAAACUGUUCACCAAACAGCCCCAAACUCUUACCACUUUGGAGGAGUUUUUGAGCCAAUAGACCCAUGAAUGGAUAGACAGUCUACACUAUACUACACUACACUAAAUGGAAUCAUAGAACCCUAAAACUGAAAAGGGCCCUGAGAGAGUAUCAAGUCCAGUCUCUAGCACCCACCCUCCCUGUAUACUAUCCAGCAAGAGAGAGUGGUUGCUUCACCCCCUCCCCACUCAUGUCCUCUUUCCCCUCCCCCUCUCACUGCACCUCUGCUCUUUCCUUGUCACCCUCCUCCUUGGCCUGCAGCCUAGCAGGGAGAAUCAUAGAACACUAGAACUGGAAGGGAGCUCCAGAGAUCAUUGAGUCCAGUCCU